AGGAGAUCCGGCUAUUAACCCUGACUUGAAAUCAGGCGUAAGGACGUUCAACUCGUCCAUCUUCUU
rnacentral:tRNA from 1 species